AAGGCUGGUGGGCCCCUGUCGCGCAGUGCUAUAUGUAGAGGAGGUGGGGACCAUGGCACGGGUUACGAGGUUCGCCGCCGCCACUGGUUCCCCACUCUCUAACCCUAAUCCGAUCUAGAGGGAUGCACUGAAGCGACGGGAAGUCCAUCACCGCCACUACCAGAUCUCUCCUUCCCCACCGUCGUCACCACCUCACGACGGUAGCCGGAGGGAGCUCAUCGAUUACGGGAUAAGGUAACAAAUCUCCACAUCACACCAAACACAUCUAGCCUUGUCGAUCCACAGGACUAUCAAUGGUAUCAUGAGCCACAAGGCUUUAGAUG
rnacentral:lncRNA from 1 species